ensembl:lncRNA
GGAAGUGAUUGUGUGUGUAUAUAUAGUAAGUACAUGAGGUAGUGUUGUUAGAACCAGCAUUUGUUGACCAUCUCACAGCAGUCAGACAGAAGCCCAGUAUGAAGUUAACAAUUUCUCUCACAGCUUUCAUGGGAUUUUUCUGGGUCCUGCCCUCAGAGGUCUCUACAGGUGUGUGUGUGUAUAUCUGCCUGCCUACAUGAUUUUUCAACAUUUCCUAAUGUCUCUAACAUCAAUUGUUAUUGUCUAGAUAAUACACAGGUGCCAUCUCCCAGAAUUAUCCAGCCCAUAAGGUCCAGAAUAGGAGCUGUUCUAGGAAAGCGGUUGGUUAUUGAAUGUACGGCAGACCCAGGCCUUCCUGAUGAAUUUGCCCUUGUCUACUGGCUGGUCAACGGCACAUUCCCAAAUGUAGCCUCCACUGAUGGCAGAGUGUCAGAAACAGAAGAGUCAGUUUUAGAGGACGGCAGGGUGAUCCAGAGGAGUCUGGUGUUUAAGAGCGUGACUGCAGAGGACUUCAGGUCCACCUUUACCUGUGUGAUAAACAGCCCAGCUGGGCUUGACCAAAGGACUUUCACACUGGCCAAUCACAAGGCUCUAUUUCCCCCUCCUUCACCCACUCCCAAAACCGAGGAGAGAACAAUGAGAAAAGACACAGGAAAAGGGAUCACAGGAAAAAGGAUCACAGCAAAACACACUAGCAAGAAAUGAGAAGACGGAUGGACUUAGUCCACUCAUGUAUCAUCCAUAGUUAAGUGAAAAAGACAAUGAACACUUAUUGACAACAAUCCCUUCUAUUGCUGUAUCUCGUGGCAAUAGUCAAGUAUGGAUUAUAAUGCAAUAAUCUAGAGGAUUAAAAAAAACUGACUAAGAAAAGAUGGAUGAAAAAGAAUAUUCAAAUUGUGACCAUACACAUUUAUUUAAUGAACUGACUCUCAGAACUAUGUAACCUAGGUUAAAGACAAUUUAGUUCAAGGGAACUUCUCUUCAUCUACUGUUAUUCUUUCACAUCUCUGUUAGAAAUGGAUUAAGUUUUGUUUUAUAACAAAGCAACACCAUACAUGUCCUGGAAGUAGGCAGCCAUUGCAAAUAAGAUUGCAUCAUGUCAUUUGUGUAAACCUUGUAAACACAUCCCAAUCAUUGAUAAGUGUGUUUACAUUAGCUCACUAUUUAUGUAAAGCAUCAUAAUGACAAUGUUAUAUUUUGUGUAUAGUCAAUACAUGUGUAAUGGCCUAUAAAUAUACAUUUCAAUGGCUUAA